rnacentral:rRNA from 1 species
UGGCCUUGACAUAGAAAGAACUUUUCAGAGACGAAAAGGUGCUAGUUUACUAGAGCUUUCAUACAGGUGCUGCACGGCUGUCGUCAGCUCGUGUCGUGAGAUGUUGGGUUAAGUCCCGCAACGAGCGCAACCCUCGUGUUUAGUUAAUAACGGUUCGGCCGAUGACUCUAAACAGACUGCCUGGGUAACCAGGAGGAAGGUGAGGACGACGUCAAGUCAUCAUGGCCCUUACGGCCAGGGCUACACACGUGCUACAAUGGGGUAUACAAAGAGCCGCGAUACCGUGAGGUGGAGCAAAUCUCAUAAAAUACCUCCCAGUUCGGAUUGAAGUCUGCAACUCGACUUCAUGAAGUUGGAAUCGCUAGUAAUCGUGAAUCAGCAAUGUCACGGUGAAUACGUUCCCGGGUCU